UGGGGAAUAUUGCACAAUGGGGGAAACCCUGAUGCAGCGACGCCGCGUGAACGAAGAAGGUAUUCGUAUCGUAAAGUUCUGUCCUAUGGGAAGAUAAUGACAGUACCAUAGAAGAAAGCUCCGGCUAAAUACGUGCCAGCAGCCGCGGUAAUACGUAUGGAGCGAGCGUUGUCCGGAAUUAUUGGGCGUAAAGGGUACGCAGGCGGUUUAAUAAGUCGAAUGUUAAAGAUCGGGGCUCAACCCCGUAAAGCAUUGGAAACUGAUGAACUUGAGGAGUGGAGAGGAAAGUGGAAUUCCUAGUGUAGUGGUGAAAUACGUAGAUAUUAGGAGGAAUACCAGUAGCGAAGGCGACUUUCUGGACACAAACUGACGCUGAGGUACGAAAGCGUGGGGAGCAAACAGG
rnacentral:rRNA from 1 species